UGGGUGUGCUCAGGGUGGGGGCCUGGAGAGUGGAUUCUUUGUUUAUACUCAAGAAGACUGUGGGACCAUCGUAAUGAGGGGCACAGCACUGUGUCCUCUCUGAGCAGUUCCCGCCACGU